AACCCGACAGAAUCUUCAUCCGCGUGUCCAUUCUGACAGGAUGUACAGUAGUAUAUGACCUGGGGUUAUUUCCACUGUCAUUUUAUAGAAGGUAAAAUACGCUGGAAUCUUCCCAGACCGGAGAAUGUGCAAGUCUGGAAAAGUUACCGACGUGACAGCUUUCCGGUUAGUGAUGACUAAUAAAAAAAAAAAAUCCACUCAGUCUGAACAGUGUUUAAGUUCAAGCCGGGGGGCUCUAAUUAAACGCUGACACUUGGAACGACAGGAGGAGCACAACGUGGACUUCGUACAGCAUGGUUCUUUAGGACUUCGGACGGCUCCAAGUCGUUGACCUGCAGGAGUGAACUGUAGUGACGACUCGCACGCACGCGCACGCAGCUGUGGACAGCGGACAAACAUCAAACCCUGACGGUUUACCAGGCUUCACCGAUCCCGUACCGUGCUCGUCGUCGGUGUGAGCGACGUGGAUCGCGCGCUCGUCCAGGCUGAAGUAGAGGAAAUGGAGGCCUCGGCGUCGGUGUAAAGGGGAUUCCAUCGACCCCUUCGACUCUCAAGACUCAUCCCUGGAUCCUGACUUGCCUUCUUCACUCCCGACGAAUAGUCUGGGUUUGAGGGCUUAAAUAAAUGAUUCUUUUUAUUGAAUUAACAUUUGAAAAGAGGAGCGGUUGAUCACGUUUGUCCACUCAAGAAAGGAUUUUUAAUUUCAAAGUUGCUCUGAUGUCCACUUUGUCCUCUUACGCUCGGCGUGAUGACCUCAACAAUAUUAGACGUUAAGUCCUAUGAGAUCACGUCACCGGCCCCCCACAUGCUCCAAAUUCACCCUAACGGAAAUUUGAAGAAUAUAUUGGCGAAUAUAUUCACCGCUUAUCAAAUCUAGGCAAACAAUAUGAUUGAAAAGUAAACUAUACAUUUAAAAUAAUAAUAAUAAUAAUAAUAAUAAUAAUAAUACUAAUAAUAAUAAUUUAAAGAAUGUCCUUGUUGGUGUUAAUCUGACAUUGAUCCUGUCCUCUAGGUCCUCUUCUGUUUCAGUUAACUGGUGCCUUCUUUAAAAAAAAAUUAUAUUUAUUUAUUUAUUUUAAAUCAUACCACUGUUCUACCGCUCUUCUUUCUGAAUCUUUCUCUCUUUCUUAUCUCCUCCAUACAUCCUCCCACCUGCCUCCCUCUAUCUCCCUCCCGUCGCUCUUCCUGCCUUUCCGCGCGUGCUGAUUGUCGCGCUUUUCAUUCUUCGUCCUCUGUAUUGGCUUUUGUUUUGGGAACAAAGGGCGCGUAAUGUCCUCAUCUUUUCCAUCUGUCACUCAGUCGGGGGGAAUGACUGAGAGGCGGAAGAUGACGAGAGACAGGGAGAGAGUGAGGAGGAAGGAUGCGGCCGUUUGAUUUCGGGAGCACUGCUUCAUUUCCCCUCAGCUCUCUGUGCGACUGCUCCGUAGACACAGACACGGCGAGGGAUCGGAGCUCCGGCGAGCUUCCUCCUGGAAAUUUACCACAGUGCUGCUGUGCUUCCAAAAAGGUUACAAAUAUUUCAUAGAUGGAUGGAUGGAUGGAUGGACAGUGGGAUGGAUGGAUGGAAGGACAGAUAGAUAGAUUGAUAGAUAGAUGUAUGGAUAGACAGUGGGAUGGAUGGAAGGAUAGAUAGACAGAGACAAAUAGAUAGAUAGAUAGUGGGAUGGAUGGAUAGAUAGAUAGUGGGAUGGAUGGAUAGAUAGUGGGAUGGAUGGAUGGAAGGGUAGAUAGAGGGAUGGAUGGAUGGAAGGAUAGAUAGAGGGAUGGAUGGAUGGAAGGAUAGAUAGAUAGAUAGAUAGAUAGAUAGUGGGAUGAUGGAAGGAUAGAUAGAUAGAUAGUGGGAUGGAUGGAAGGAUAGAUAGAUAGUGGGAUGUAUAGAUAGAUAGAUAGAUAGAGAUAGAUAGAUGGAUGGAUGGAAGGAUAGAUAGAUAGAUAGAUAGUGGGAUGGAUGGAUGGAAGGAUAGAUAGAUAGUGGGAUGUAUAGAUAGAUAGAUAGAUAGAGAUAGAUAGAUGGAUGGAUGGAAGGAUAGAUAGAUAGAUAGAUAGUGGGAUGGAUGGAUAGAUAGAUAGAGGGAUGGAUGGAUGGAUAGAUAGAUAGUGGGACAGAUAGAUAGAGGGAUGGAUGGAUGGAAGGAUAGAUAGAUAGAUGGACAGUGGGAUGGAUGGAUGGAAGGAUAGAUAGAUGGAUAGAUAGAUAGUGGGAUGGAUGGAAGGAUAGAUAGAUAGUGGGAUGGAUGGAUGGAAGGAUAGACAGAUAGAUGGAUAGUGGGAUGGAUGGAUGGAAGGAUAGAUAGAUGGAUAGAUAGAUGGAUAGUGGGAUGGAUGGAUGGAAGGAUAGAUAGAUGGAUAGAUAGAUGGAUAGAUAGAUAGAUGGAUGGAAGGAUGGAUAGAUAGAGGGAUGGAAGGAUAGAUAGAUAGAUAGAUGGAUGGAAGGAUGGAUAGAUAGAGGGAUGGAAGGAUAGAUAGAUAGAUAGAUGGAUGGAAGGAUAGAUAGAUAGAUAGAGGGAUGGAUGGAAGGAUAGAUAGAUAGAUGGAUGGAAGGAUAGAUAGAUAUGGAUAGUGGGAUGGAUGGAUGGAAGGAUAGAUAGAUGGAUGGAAGGAUAGAUGGAAGGAUGGAUGGAAGGAUAGACAGAUAGAUAGAUGGAUAGUGGGAUGGAUGGAUGGAUAGUGGGAUGGAUGGAUGGAAGGAUAGAUGGAUAGUGGGAUGGAUGGAUGGAUAGAUAGAUGGAUAGUGGGAUGGAUGGAUGGAAGGAUAGAUGGAUAAUAGAUUGGAUGGAAGGAUAGAUGGAUAGUGGGAUGGAUGGAUGGAAGGAUAGAUGGUAGAUAGCAUUUAGUCCUGAGUGUCUGGUGAAGAGCUAGUGAGUGUUAAUAAGUGGAAUAAGACACACUGAUGGGGUGGUGGAACAGUGACACCACUGAACCUUUCCUCCGAGUUGAACUCUAUCUGACUGAUUCCUGGCUGUAAAUGGCAUCUUUAGGGAUAUUAAAUGUUAAUCACCUCAAUCUUUUCUUCACACAGCCUGUAGUUAACGACAGACCACAUGUCCUGCCUGGAACCGUACUCUGUUGUCAUAUUUGGCACCACGCAGCAUGAGAACUAGGAUAUGAAGUCGGACGAUUUCCUGCGCAGCGGCAUGUACAUGUAUGUGUUUGCGAUUGCGAGCGUUAAUUACGAACAGUGUCUAAUUAUGCUUUCAAUCUCACUACAGUCCUGCUCCACAUGCUCCAAACCAAAACAGUAGUGGGAAAUCUUCGAGCAGCAGGACAGAAAUGAUCUCUGACGGUCAUGAGCGGCCCGGUU
ensembl:lncRNA